UCGUUAUAGGAUCAAGUGAAUAAGUGCAUGUGAUGGAUGCCUUGGCGAUUACAGGCGAUGAAGGACGUUGUAGCCUGCGAUAAGCUUCGGGGAGCUGGCAAACAAGCUUUGAUCCGAAGAUUUCCGAAUGGGGAAACCCGCCGCUUUUGCGGCACCCACAUCUGAAUACAUAGGGUGUGUGGAGCGAACCUCGUGAACUGAAAC
rnacentral:rRNA from 1 species